rnacentral:rRNA from 1 species
AUUGAACGCUGGCGGCAGGCCUAACACAUGCAAGUCGAGCGGAUGAAGGGAGCUUGCUCCUGGAUUCAGCGGCGGACGGGUGAGUAAUGCCUAGGAAUCUGCCUGGUAGUGGGGGAUAACGUCCGGAAACGGGCGCUAAUACCGCAUACGUCCUGAGGGAGAAAGUGGGGGAUCUUCGGACCUCACGCUAUCAGAUGAGCCUAGGUCGGAUUAGCUAGUUGGUGGGGUAAAGGCCUACCAAGGCGACGAUCCGUAACUGGUCUGAGAGGAUGAUCAGUCACACUGGAACUGGGACACGGUCCAGACUCCUACGGGAGGCAGCAGUGGGGAAUAUUGGACAAUGGGCGAAAGCCUGAUCCAGCCAUGCCGAGUGUGUGAAGAAGGUCUUCGGAUUGUAAAGCACUUUAAGUUGGGAGGAAGGGCAGUAAGUUAAUACCUUGCUGUUUUGACGUUACCAACAGAAUAAGCACCGGCUAACUUCGUG